CGGGACGGGUGAGUAACGCGUGGAUAACCUGCCUUACACUGGGGGAUAACACUUAGAAAUAGGUGCUAAUACCGCAUAAGCGCACAGAGCCGCAUGGCUCAGUGUGAAAAACUCCGGUGGUGUAAGAUGGAUCCGCGUCUGAUUAGCUGGUUGGCGGGGUAGAAGCCCACCAAGGCGACGAUCGGUAGCCGGCCUGAGAGGGUGAACGGCCACAUUGGGACUGAGACACGGCCCAAACUCCUACGGGAGGCAGCAG
rnacentral:rRNA from 1 species